UGAAAGAGAGAUUAACAACUAAAAGAACGAUCGAUUCUUUAUUCCCCCAAGGGAGUUGCCAUCAUAAAGAUAAUCAAGAUAUCCCAGGACGGAUUCAUGACUAGCGCAAAAGCAUCGAUAAUGUAGAAUUUCUUUCUUAAGGCCGGCCAACUAAUGCCUUUUCCCGGUCCUCAUGUCUAUGAUUCGAGAGGAUUGAAAAAGCUCACUUAUUGGCUCACGAACUCCAACUACAAACUCAGAACUACAGCUCCCUUCUCUAUCUCACUUCUCUAUUUCACU